rnacentral:rRNA from 1 species
GGUUUCUUGGAAGUAAUAGGAAAUUUAACCUGCCCACUGAACAUGGUUUUAAGGGCCGCAGUAUUUUGACUGUGCAAAGGUAGCAUAAUAAUUAGUUUUUUAAUUGAGGGCUGGAAUGAAUGGUUGGACGAAGUAUGAUCUGUUUUAUAUUAAUAAAUAAAUUGAAUUUAGAUUUUAAGUUAAAAUACUUAGAUUUUAUUAAGGGACGAGAAGACCCUAUAGAGUUUUAUAAAAAAAAUAAUAAAUUGUGUUAAAGGGUGAUUUUUAAUUUUUAUUGAUUUUAUUUGGUUGGGGUGACUAAAAGAUAAAUUUAACUCUUUUUUAAAUUUAAUAAAUUACUUAAUUAUAAGAUCCAUAAAUUGUGAUUGUAAGAUUAAAUUACCUUAGGGAUAACAGCAUAAUUUCUUUUGAGAGUUCAUAUUAAAAGGGGAGUUUGUGACCUCGAUGUUGGAUUAAGAUAUAUUUUAGGUGUAGAUGCUGAAAAAUUAGGUCUGUUCGACCUUUAAAAUCUUACA